rnacentral:rRNA from 1 species
GUGGGGAAUAUUGCACAAUGGGCGCAAGCCUGAUGCAGCCAUGCCGCGUGUGUGAAGAAGGCCUUCGGGUUGUAAAGCACUUUCAGCGGGGAGGAAGGCGAUAAGGUUAAUAACCUUGUCGAUUGACGUUACCCGCAGAAGAAGCACCGGCUAACUCCGUGCCAGCAGCCGCGGUAAUACGGAGGGUGCAAGCGUUAAUCGGAAUUACUGGGCGUAAAGCGCACGCAGGCGGUCUGUCAAGUCGGAUGUGAAAUCCCCGGGCUCAACCUGGGAACUGCAUUCGAAACUGGCAGGCUAGAGUCUUGUAGAGGGGGGUAGAAUUCCAGGUGUAGCGGUGAAAUGCGUAGAGAUCUGGAGGAAUACCGGUGGCGAAGGCGGCCCCCUGGACAAAGACUGACGCUCAGGUGCGAAAGCGUGGGGAGCAAACAGGAUUAGAAACCCCAGUAGUCC